rnacentral:tRNA from 1 species
AAAUAAGAAGCAAUAUGCAAUUAGUUUCGACCUAAUCUAUGGUAAAACUUUUACCCUUAUUUA